rnacentral:lncRNA from 1 species
CCACAGAGUGGUGGAUGCUGAAGAGCUGAGGUCUGCACACCAGAGGCUUUCUUCAGAUGUGGAAAACGGUCAUAUGAGGCCGAUGACCAGAACCAGAGCAGUGUCCCUAACCUGGAGAUGAGGCUGACACUCCUAGCUCGGGUUUUCUGCACUGAGGAAGUCAGCGCAGUCAGGGCAUUGCAAUUACAUCGGAAUCCACCAAAAACACCAUUGCUCUUGAUACUCAGCUGUCCCUGGCUGCCUCUGUUUGGUCAGCUGCAUCCGCUGUGGGCACAAGAGGCUUUCCAAAGCCCUUGGAGGGGGCCAACGCGAAGCCUUGAGUCAUCAGAUCAGCCGGAGACUAAUUCCUUGUGUUUAAUAAAAGGAACUUUUAAAUCAA